ACUGAGGAGGAGGAGGAGGAGGAGUCCGAAGAUGAGGAGGAGACUGAGGAAGAGGAGGAGACUGAGGGGAAGGAGGAGGUGGCCACCUUGGAGCCGCCCGCGAAGCCGGCGGAGGAGCCCGAGGGGGCGGGAGCUUAUGCGGAAACCGAGGGUCUGGGAGAGCAAGGGAGAACCUCCCGUGGCAUGAGCACAGGCCUGUAAGGUGGAUUGAUUCAUGUACAUCCCAGUAUGGACUCUCAAGCUAAAGAAAAGGCAUUUAUGGAGUUAGGCAAGCGGGACAAGUUUGGUAUAGUCACGAGAUCUAACCCACCGGUUCCACCAGCAUCCUGUGGGAAAGGAAUAUGGAGUCAAAGGACAUUUCCAUUUGUUCGCCUUUUGAAAGUAACAGGCUACCACUGCCUAUCGGUGGAGAAAUGCUGAUGAAGAGAAAGAUUACCGUUACAAGACAGAAGUCCUUGAGGUGGCCACAGGAAAUGGCAUUUCCCGUGCCCUGCUGUCAGAGUGCUUUCCAAAAGGGCACUUGUGAUGAUGCAAUUCCUCUGCUCCAAAAUUCUUCACAGCUCUCCACCGCCUACUACAUGAACCCAACGUUCAAGACUGGCAUGUAAGCCCAGCUCCAACCAAACCUUCCAGCCUUGUUAUCCCUCAGCAAGUCCCCAUGUGUAUCCUCUGUGAAAGCCAACGCAAGCUACUCACUGUACCUUCAUACUCUGUGUUCUCAUCUCCAGGGCUUUGCUGGCACCCUCUGCCCUCAGUUCUGCCUUCUGAAAGCCUCAUGCUUCAGUGCCUUCCCUGAUGUCCUAGCAGAAAGUAACCCCUCACUGCCCCAGCGCCUGCAGCACUAUGCAGUUCUUAAGGCCUGUACAAAAACUAUCAACUGUUAGCAGUCAUAGUUUCAGAUUAUAAAGGACAUGUGUAUGUUCUCAUUUAGCCUCCUAAUUAACACUGUCUUAUCUAAUAAAAUGUUGAGUUUGAG